UACGUAGGGGGCAAGCGUUGUCCGGAAUCAUUGGGCGUAAAGCGCGUGUAGGCGGCUCAGUAAGUCUGAUGUGAAAGCCCGAGGCUCAACCUCGGAAUUGCAUUGGAAACUGCUGGGCUUGAGUCCGGAAGAGGAGAGUGGAAUUCCUGGUGUAGCGGUGGAAUGCGCAGAUAUCAGGAGGAACACCAAUGGCGAAGGCAGCUCUCUGGUACGUGACUGACGCUGAGACGCGAAAGCGUGGGGAGCGAACAGG
rnacentral:misc_RNA from 1 species